CGAAGGGUGCAAGCGUUACUCGGAAUUACUGGGCGUAAAGCGUGCGUAGGUGGUGAGUUAAGUCUGUCGUGAAAGCCCCGGGCUCAACCUGGGAAUGGCGAUGGAUACUGGCUCGCUAGAGUGCGGUAGAGGGUGGUGGAAUUCCCGGUGUAGCAGUGAAAUGCGUAGAGAUCGGGAGGAACAUCAGUUGCGAAGGCGGCCACCUGGACCAGCACUGACACUGAGGCACGAAAGCGUGGGGAGCAAACAGGAUUAGAUCCCCUGGUAGUCCACGCCCUAAACGAUGCGAACUGGACGUUGGGAGCAACUAGGCUCUCAGUGUCGAAGCUAACGCGUUAAGUUCGCCGCCUGGGGAGUACGGUCGCAAGACUG
rnacentral:rRNA from 1 species